rnacentral:rRNA from 1 species
AAUAUUGCACAAUGGGCGCAAGCCUGACGCAGCAACGCCGCGUGAGUGAAGAAGGCCUUCGGGUCGUAAAACUCUGUCAUUAGGGCAGAAUAAAGUGACGGUACCUAAUGAGGAAGCCCCGGCUAACUACGUGCCAGCAGCCGCGGUAAUACGUAGGGGGCGAGCGUUGUCCGGAAUUACUGGGCGUAAAGGGUGCGUAGGCGGCCAAUUAAGUCAGAUGUGAAAUACCAGGGCUCAACCCUGGGGGUGCAUAUGAAACUGGUUGGCUUGAGUGCAGGAGAGGAAAGUGGAAUUCCUAGUGUAGCGGUGAAAUGCGUAGAGAUUAGGUGGAACACCAGUGGCGAAGGCGACUACCUGGACUGAUACUGACACUGAGGUGCGAAAGCGUGGGGAGCAAAC